GCUGGUGAAAUAUUUAGUAUGAAUUCAGUUAUAUGUUGCAUAAUAAAGUGCUGUCAAAGUGGCCAAUAUAUAGCAAUUACACUGUAUUCAGUUUCAUCAGAAUGAGAUUAUGAGACUUAAAAUUAAAUUUGAGUAUAAUUUCCAAAGAAAUUUACAUCAAACAUUUGGUUUCAUAAUCUUGUAUAUAUUAGGUGAAUGAACAUUCAGAACUAUUAGAGAUUAGUACUCCACAAUGGACGUCAAAAUCUCGAAAAUAGAAGAGUUCAUUUUCUGCAUAUAUACAUACAUAAUUCGGUAAAUGGCUUUUAGAUUGGCCAUGAUCACAUUGUUGAUAUAAAGUCAAUUUAAUCUUCUUAAAUGCUAAAUGCUGUCAAAAUGGCUUAGUGUAAAGAAGAUUAAUUGUCUUGUUUGGUUUUCAACAAUAAAAUCAAGCAACUUAAAAUUUAAUUUGAUCCUUAUUUCCAAAGAAGUCUGGUAUCAAACAUUUGGUUCUUGAUUUUGUAUAUGAUCAAAAUUGAACAUUCAGAUAUCAUUAGAGAUUAGUACACCCCAAAGGAUGUCAAAAUCUUGAAAAUGGUUGAGUUCUAUUUUCUGAACAUAUGCAUUUGGUGUGAAAUGAAUGUUCAAAUCAUGAAUUUUCAUUUUUGGGACAUACAGACAAUUCUAGUAUUAUGAUAAACUAGAAUGAUUUUACUGAUCAACUUCAUAUACAUAUAGACAUUUUCCUUUGAGCAUCAAUCAGGUUGAACUACAGGAUGACUCAAAUUUUAGAAAAUGGUAGAGGAACAUUGGGUUGAGCUUGGAGUACAUGAUUAUAAUCAUGUGUUGAAAGAAAUCCAUCUGAGAAUUGGCAGCAAAUAAAAGCAAGGAGAAGCAUUCAAAUGAAAGAAUCCAGUUCCUCAAUGCAGUAUCUAUCCUAG
rnacentral:lncRNA from 1 species